GACGAACGCUGGCGGCGUGCUUAACACAUGCAAGUCGAACGGAAAGGCCCUGCUUUUGUGGGGUGCUCGAGUGGCGAACGGGUGAGUAACACGUGUGUAACCUGCCCUUGACUUUGGGAUAACUUCAGGAAACUGGGGCUAAUACCGGAUAGGAGCUCCUGCCGCAUGGUGGGGGUUGGAAAGUUUCGGCGGUUGGGGAUGGACUCGCGGCUUAUCAGCUUGCUGGUGGGGUAGUGGCUUACCAAGGCUUGGACGGGUAGCCGGCCUGAGAGGGUGACCGGCCACCUUGGGACUGCGAUAGGGCCCAGACUCCUACGGGAGGCAGCAGUGGGGAGUCUUGCACAAUGGGCGCAAGCGUGUUGCAGCAACGCCGCGUGCGGGAUGACGGCCUUCGGGUUGUAAACCGCUUUCGCCUGUGACGAAGCGGGAGUGACGGUAAUGGGUAAAGAAGCACCGGCUAACUACGUG
rnacentral:rRNA from 1 species